rnacentral:misc_RNA from 1 species
GAUGAAGAACGCAGCGAAAUGCGAUAAGUAGUGUGAAUUGCAGAAUUCAGUGAAUCAUCGAAUCUUUGAACGCACAUUGCGCCCUUUGGUAUUCCAAAGGGCAUGCCUGUUCGAGCGUCAUUUGUACCCUCAAGCUUUGCUUGGUGUUGGGCGUCUUGUCUCUAGCUUUGCUGGAGACUCGCCUUAAAGUAAUUGGCAGCCGGCCUACUGGUUUCGGAGCGCAGCACAAGUCACUCUCUAUCAGCAAAGGUCUAGCAUCCAUUAAGCCUUUUUUUCAACUUUUGACCUCGGAUCAGGUAGGGAUACCCGCUGAACUUAAGCAUAUCAAUAAGCGGAGGA